rnacentral:siRNA from 1 species
UUGAACUGACCCGAUUCAUGGAAC